GACGAACGCUGGCGGCGUGCUUAACACAUGCAAGUCGAACGGAAAGGCCCUGCUUUUGUGGGGUGCUCGUGUGGCGAACGGGUGAGUAACACGUGAGUAACCUGCCCUUGACUUUGGGAUAACUUCAGGAAACUGGGGCUAAUACCGGAUAGGAGCUCCUGCUGCAUGGUGGGGGUUGGAAAGUUUCGGCGGUUGGGGAUGGACUCGCGGCUUAUCAGCUUGUUGGUGGGGUAGUGGCUUACCAAGGCUUUGACGGGUAGCCGGCCUGAGAGGGUGACCGGCCACAUUGGGACUGAGAUACGGCCCAGACUCCUACGGGAGGCAGCAGUGGGGAAUAUUGCACAAUGGGCGGAAGCCUGAUGCAGCAACGCCGCGUGCGGGAUGACGGCCUUCGGGUUGUACACCGCUUUCGCCUGUGACGAAGCGUGAGUGACGGUAAUGGGUAAAGAAGCACCGGCUAACUACGUG
rnacentral:rRNA from 1 species